AUGGUGGUCUGCUUAGUGAGGCUCUGGGCCUGAGUUGGGCUCGAAGUGCAGCGGCCCGUUAUCCUCCCACCGUUGGAAGCGGGCAGUGAUCGCUGCUCUGUGAAGCCAGCCUCACGCCAUUCCUGCCACUUCAGGUCUGGAGAGACCAAAGCUUCCGCUAAAGCCUCCGCCAGCCACUACCAACUUGGGACGGGCAGGCCGGCCAAAGGCACAUAGCGAGCCCGGGCCCAGAAAGCCAUCGCAAAGAAUCCGCACCACCUUAAUGCCCCCGCUCGGGUUACAAGCUCUCGCUACAGAGCUCGGCGAGGGUGGGCGGUCUGGACGAAUAUUUAAGCAGGUAUAGAGGACUGCGGACUGGCGAGGUGGUGCUAAACGAUGAGAUGAGUGCGGACAGGUUUCGUGGAACGGUGUCUCGGAGCAGUGGGCUUUUUCGUUGCUUCUCUUUCGACGAAAAUACUUUGCCCGCACAAUCCCCCCAGGCCCACACACGAAACGCAUUUAUUAUUCAUUAUUAGAGCAGCGCUGUACGUCAAAUUGAACUGCAAUGAAACAUCUUUUUUUAACUCUGAACAACUAAUUAGUAAUAGGCGAUACUUUACUAGGAAUACAGAGACAGUACCUCAACCUGGAAUAACACUUGAGAAUAUUUAAAUGAUAAUUACAUGUAUUAAAUAUAGUCUAAUUAUGAAGGGCAUGGCAAUAUGUGACAACUCUAAUAAUAAGCUGAGUUAAUAACUCCUGCAGUUAAACAACACAAUGUUAUUUUUCUUAACUCAGGUAUGAUACAAAUGGCAAAAUUAAUCAUCUCAGUGUGAAGUGAUAUACAAAUUUAAUCGCAAGCAAAGUAUAGUUUAAACUUUAAAGGAACAACACUGAUCUGGGACAUUACUACAUUGACUACAGACUUAUAAACUUCUAUGGCACAAAAAUGUUUUAAUCUCAAAACUCUAUUACAUGUGAACUUCACAUGCACUAAAUUUCUCAACCAGUCAAUAUCAACUAACCAAUACACUUUUACUGGAAUCAACUCCCCACAACGCCAUGAAUUUGCAACCCAUCGAUCAAAUUGAAUAUAGAAUAGGAAACUUUCUAACAAAAAACAGUAUCACAUUGAUCUCCAGGGGGACUUGUGUUUUAGUCCAAACCUGAGCACUUAUGUCCAAUUGCCUGUUUUGCUGAGCACUUAUGUGGAGUCGUCAUGCGAACAGAGUCAUGGACAAUGGUUUGAUGCGACACUAUACUACCAUUACACAACAUAACCCUUGCAAAAUUCGUUUCAAGUGAGAAGAGUCAACCUACCCCUACUAAGAACUGGAGGUUGAGUUAUAGCAACCACCAUGAGACCGCGACAAGAAAUGUUGGAGAAAAAUCAAAUCACCUUCACAAAUUGGGACCAAACCCUUUCCGGAAAUAAAAGGAUGGCAGCAUACAUAAUUCAUUCAAAAUGGCAGAGUAGUUGCACUACUUGUAGAGUACGUUUAUAUCCAAAAGCUCUUCUUUCGUUCUUGGUCCUCGGAUACUCAUUUCCUUCAACAUGUCUGUUCUGAAGAUAGCUUAGCGAAACCUGCCAAGAAAACCUCAAAACCUAGAGAGAAGCCAAGAACAAUAAUUCACCUUGGCACGUUGUGUUUGAUCACGAAUUCACGAUCUAGUAGAUACAGAGGAAGAUCACCUUCUUGGACAUCAUCAUCAUCAACCUAGGGACCACAACGCGGAGGGGAGAGGAGGGAAGCGCACCAAAGGAGGAAAGGGAUGGCUAGUCUGUACUCACCUGGGCACCACAACGCGGAGGGGCUCGGCAAGGAGAAGACCUCCGGCUCUAGAUCCUGGUUCGUGAUGCGCUCGCCUACGAGAACGUCGCCGCUUGAGAAGCAGUCGCCCCACGGCUAGCGCAUCACCGCGUUGGGAUUCCUCCGCAGACGAAACGUCAAUUAGAUACCAUGCGACAACGGCAUCGCAGGGGCGAGGGUUAGGCGUUGAGGGUUAAGCGGCGGCGCUAGGGUGUGGACGCGGUCGCCUAGGGUUCGGAGUAGCGAGAGAGAACACACGGGGGGAGGGGGGACGACGGCUACCAUAUCACCGAGGCGGAGACGAGGGGAGGGGUCGCUCGCGCGAGGGCAGGCGGGCGCGUGACUCCAUGGAGAUGGCGGACGUGGAGAGAGUCGUGCGCGGCGAUCCGGGGCAGGAGAAUGUCGCGGACGCGGGAUAUGGGGCGGAGGAUGUCGCCUUCCAUGGAGAGAGUCGGGGCGGGGUUUAGGGACGAGGAUGUCGCGGACACGGAUCUGAGAGAGACCGCGGGGAUUGCGGGAGAGAUGAGAGUGGGGCGAGGAGAGAUGGCGAACGCGACGGCACGAGAUGGACGGACGGGGAUGACGGCAGUGAGCGGCGAUUGCGGUAGACAGAGGUAGGGGCGGGGCCGCGGGGGUGUGCUUCACCAAAAAAAAAGUGGACGCCCACUCUACCAUAUAGAGUAGUAGAGAUAUGAGGAGAAUUUAGAGGGAACCGCUGCGAUAGAUGAAAAAAGUAGGGAUAAAAUAUUGACUAUGUGAACCAAAAUAGUGAUAUAGAAAAAAAUUAUGAAAAGUUUACGAAGGUUAAAAAAAUUGAUGCAGCAGUAGAGGCUAACGGUCUAAAAAAAUAAAAAGAUGGAGGUCUGCUUAGUGACGUAGACUCUGGGCCCGUGCUGGACUCGAUGUGUAAAGCCGGCCUGCUAUCCUCCCCACAGUUGGCAGCGAGGCAGUGAUCACUGCUCUGUUGAGCCAGCCUCAUCGUCAAUGAGGUGCCGAGCUUUCGCUAGAGCUCCCGUCAGCCACCAAGUACCCAACUUGAGACGGGCAGCAAGCCGGCGGCCAAGGCACUUGCCCAUACACCGAGUCCCAGGCCCAGAAGAGUCGUAACUAAAGCGCAUCCGCACCACCCUUAAUGCCCCCGCACGGGUUACAAGCCCUCGCUACUGAGCUCGGCGAUGGAGCGCGGUAGGGACGAAUAUUUAAGCUGGUACAGCGGACUGCGGACUGGCGCAUUGGUGCUAAACGAUGAGAUGAGUGCGGACAGGUCUCGUGGCAACGGUGCCUAGGAGUAGUAGUGGGCUUUCGUUGCUUCUCUUUCGACUAGAAUACUUUGACGUGGGCACGUGGCCCAACGGCCCUGCACAAGCACAGUUUUCAUCACAGGCCGGACGAAAAUUGAAGAUAUCCACUCCCCCAGGCCCACCACACAAAACGCAUUUAUUCAUUAUUAUUAUUAUUAUUAGAGCAACGCUGUACGUCAUAUUGAACUGCAAUGCAACAUCUUUUUAUUUUUCUUUUACUAUGAACAACUAAUAAGUAAUAGGCGAUACUUUACUAGGAAAACAGAGACAGUACCUCAACCUGGAAAACACUUGAUGAGGAUUUUGUAUAAGCUUUGCUCCAUGGCAAAGCUUAGAAACCUUUCAUCUUAAAAAAACGGUGUUUUUUUCAUUAGUUCUAAUAGACCCUCUAGGGACUAGGCUUCAUAUUAUUAUUGGUAAUGACUCUAAACAUUUUUGUCACAACUUCAACAUCUUCGCUUGUAGGUGUUCAGUAGACCCACCUGACCAUGUCAACCUGCUUGCCAGUUGCCAACAGCUCAAUAUACAUCACGUGGUUUUUGUCACCUGGGUGCUGUUUGGUUCACAUAUUUGUAACGUAAUAGGUAACGGAUAACGUUAAAUCAUGUUUGUUUUAGUCCAACCGUAAUCAGAUAUCACACUAAAAUUUGAUACCAGCCUAUUCAAAUUUGUUACCGCCAGUAAUCGAGCUGAAACCAUUACCAUUUGCGUUACAUUUUUUGAACCAAACAAUACCCUGGUUCUUACAGAAACUCGGCUAUAUAUUAUAAAUCAUGGGAUUCGGUGCACUUUUGCUAUUCAUCGCACGCUAUGUUGAAACAAAGAUUUUUUUUAAAAAAAAACUUUGUUAAUCCGGACGAUUCUAUUCUAUGUGCCCCCCCCCCCCCCCCCCCCCCCCCCAAAAUCGCCCCAUCGCGCGCCUUGCCAGACCAGACCUGCUGGUGGAAGAUUUGUGGCCUGAACUGGAAAAAUAUUGCUGACAUCUUGAUCUGUUGAAAUUGCAGCUGCAACCGAGACUGUAUCAGAUAAGCAGUGCCUGCAAGCCUGCAACGAAACAGUCAAGAUAAUGUUUGUUUCUCCCUUUUUAAAAAAAAAUUUAUAAAGACCAAUAUUGCUUCUCCUUUAUGUAUAGUUUCCAAAUGCCAACGUGGCUGCAUCAGUGAGACAGUGAUGCUGCUUAAAUGUUGAAUCGUUUUAGAUGAAAGAUUCAACUUUGGAUUUGGCCAAGAUACAGACACCCCGACGCCACACAAUUCGCUAUACGGUGAGGUCACUCUUGCCGUUGAUUCAAUGUGCUCUCUCCCCCAACUUGACCAUGGAAGUGAAUCGGUUUCUUCUACGCAGAACGAAAUUUAGGACCGAUUCGCCAUGACGAGGUACCAUCUGCACUGACAUCUAACCGAGAUCCUCAUCUGAACGAACGGUUCUUCUACCUAGUACCUACCAGGCAACCACUAUAAACUUGUGCGAUCGAGUCAGUAGUUUGCAACUCCAAGACAAAAGGCUACUAUUAAGAACCAAACCUCAUGGGUUGGUUGGGACAUCACUGUCGUUAAAUUCGUCAAAACACUGCAUGAUCUUAUCUUUCUCUUCUCUCCCGUGUCUAUAUUUACCAAGCAUCACAUCAAAGCUAGUUCGGACUGCGGAACACGACGACGAAGCGAAAGAACGCAAGGUCAAGUCAGAGGCAGAGGGCAGAGGCAGGAGCAGUGGUAGCGCGACGCCGCCGGGGAGUGAUGGCACUGGCGUGAUACAUGGAGGGCAAAAAGGCCAAGAUCCUCGCGGGCGCGGUGGCUGUCUUGCUCGUGGCUCUCGAGCUCGCCUUGUUCCUCUGCUUCCGCCUGUCGAGGCCGUUCUACCUCUCGACGGCGGUCAUCCUGUCGGCCGCGCUGGCGGGCACCGUCACGGUCCUGCUGUGCCACGCGCUGUACCCCCACGGACGGGCCGAGCGCAUGGCGAGGCGGCUGGUGCUGGACGGCGGCGAGGAUGUGCCGGCGGCGGCGCGCGUGGAGUACAGCUACUUCCGCAAGGUGGCCGGGCUGCCCAGAAGGUUCUCGCUGGAGGCGCUGUCGGCGGCGACGGACGGCUUCCAGUACGUGGUGGGGCAGGGGUCGUCGGGGACGGUGUUCAAGGGCAUCCUCGACGACGGCACGCCCGUGGCGGUGAAGCGGAUCGACGGGUCGGCGCACGUGGACAAGGAGUUCAGGUCGGAGGUGUCGGCCAUCGGCAGCGUGCAGCACGUGAGCCUGGUGCGCCUGCUCGGCUUCUGCCUCGUCCGCAACGGCCCGCGCUUCCUCGUGUACGAGUACAUGGACAACGGGUCGCUGGACAGGUGGAUCUUCCCGCAGGCGCGGCACGGCGGCGGCGCCGGCGGGCGGUGCCUGACGUGGCUGCAGCGGUACCAGGUGGCCGUGGACGUGGCCAGGGCGCUGGCGUACCUGCACCACGACUGCCGCGCCAAGGUGGUGCACCUGGACGUGAAGCCCGAGAACAUCCUCCUCGACGACCGCCUCCGCGGGAUGCUCUCCGACUUCGGGCUGUCCACGCUGAUGGGGAAGGAGCAGAGCCGGGUGGUGACCACGGUGCGCGGCACCACGGGGUACCUGGCCCCGGAGUGGCUCCUGGGCGCCGGCGUCACGGAGAAGUCCGACGUGUACAGCUACGGGAUGGUGCUUAUGGAGAUGCUCGGCGGGCGGCGGAACCUGCAGGCCGAGCCCGGGCCCAGCGGGUCCCGGCGGUGGUCCUACUUCCCGAAGCUGGUCGCCGACAGGGCGCGGGAGGGGCGCGUGGCGGAGGUGCUGGACCGGCGGCUCGCCUCGUCCGCGGGGGACGAGGCGAGCGUGAGGCGGCUGGCCCACGUGGCGCUGUGGACUGUGGUGCGCGCAGGAGAAGCCCGGGGCGCGCCCGACCAUGGCGCGCGUGGUGGAGAUGCUGGAGGCCAGGGGCGGCGCCAGCGUGGAGCCCCCGCCGCCGUCGGACAUGAUCGUGGUGGACCUGCUCGCGCUCGACCCCGCGCAGACGCACCACGGCGGCGGCGGCGGCCCGUUCGGGCUCCCCGGGUUGCCACCGGGACCGAGCUCGGUGGGGACGGCCGCGUCGGCGGCGAUGAGCAUGGGCGAAUCGUUCGCGCUCUCCUACCUGUCCGGGCGGUAGCGCACGUGGCUGUGCCGCGCCGCAAUUCCGUAGCGAUCGAUCGGCCAUUCAGGACUCCACCAGGAUGCUGCAAAAGGACUACCCAACAGUGGAGUGGCAGUAGCUUCAUGCCUUCAUGAUCUGGUGCGGUGACUGGUGAGUGAUUUCAGGCUGCGGUCUGACAAACUGUACGUACUACUACAGAGUGCAAUCAUUGAAACGAAGGUGCAGACCUUGGCGCACCAAGUUCAGCUGCAAGCUGACUGGCACAGUGUCAUUGAAGAUUAGAUGCAGGCGUGGGAGAAGCUGGAACGCCAUCAAUGGUUAUGCGCAUAAUACGAUUCUAAGUUUUUUAUUCUAAUUUUUUCUGUAAAAUUUCCAUUCCCCAAAUAGGUAGCCCUUCAUUUCAACCGGUUCCACCCAACUAAACUUUAGUCUCUAUCAUAUUGAAUAUUUGAAUGAUAAUUAUAGGUAUUAAAUAUAGUCUAAUUAUAAAACUAAUUGUAGAGACGAAUUUAUUAAACCUAUUAAGUCUAUAUUUAAUAUUUAAAAUUUUAAUUGGCAUGAACUAAAUUUUAGUUACGGGCAACCAAGCACUUCCUUAGGCGUAAACUAGAGCAGAACGAGGCUAUCAGAGAGUCGAGCAAUCCGAGCUACGACAGUGAUACGACACAGAUGAUCGCUCGAAUGAGGACUAUACUGUACCACCAUAGUCGCCUCUAGCAUCGUCACUGAGACAACAUGAUGUAGAGGCCGCUGGAACCACUACUGCAAGUCCACCUCUGGCACCGGAUAGGAAGUUUGCCCUAUAGUAAGUCUAAAAUACAUUGAGAUGUCAUGUGUGCACUAGAUAUGUCUCACCAAACAUAGCACUCACAUGUACACGGCUAUAUCAGCAUCAAAUAGGGCACGCUAUAUCAGCAUCAUCUAGAUGACUCGGUGGUGAUUGGAUGGGUGACCCAAAUUAAAUGUACACUGUUGUGAGCGGUUCAGUGUGCUAGAACAUUGAAGAACCAUCUCAUGUAGUAGACCUUGCAGGAACAAGGGUUUGCGGUGUUCCAAUGAGAACUAGUGGAGAGUAUCGAGUCUUCGAUACCUCAGAAAAAAUUAGAGGAGUUUUAAACCCUUGAUUUACUUUUCACUAUUAUAUUUGAGCAAUUUAGUUUGAGUAUUUAUGUUUUAAGUAUUGUCAUGCUAGCAUAUAAUUUAAACUAAUGCUCUUAUCUCUUUGUGAACACAUUGGGCACUAGGAUGAAGUUGGCAUGUUCUUAGGGUUUAAUUAUUGCAAUAUUUAACCUAGCUCACCUUUAAAAAUGCACUUAUCUAGAUUAAACUACUAGUCCAUACCCUUUUAUAGUGCGGCUAAAGAAAAAGGAGAAGUUUUAAAUUAUUCUAAGUGUCUUUGCACUCGAAACGAUACUUUAUACUGGUAUAUACUUACCCUUGUCUACUACCCUUUGAAAACCAAAAUAAAAUCCAUAAUUAGACAUGAAAACCAUAGAUUACACAAAUAAUCUUUGUUAUUGUGACCUACCUAACCUCAGUUUAACUCUACCAACACACGUUAGUCAUAAUAAUGUUAUGCUGUUAUGCUGUCAUUAAUCACCGUAACCACAACAUUUGGCAUAUUUUCAUUUAGAUUUGAAUUUAACCAGCACUAUAGCACCUAAAAAUUAUAUGCUGAUUGAUUUUCAGCUUUUAAAAUUACUAAUGGGCAUACGUUCCGACAUAAUCACAUAACGUGUUUAAGUUAGACUUGAAGCGUACGCAGCAAUAAAACUAUAUAGAUGAGAUAAUUCUAUGUAUGUACUUUUGGAGGAAAAAAACUCGAGGAGACGAAAAUUUACAAAUUAAAUGCUCGCUCGAUCGUGAGAAGAUAAACGUAUCGACGAUCGAUGGAGCCAUGUAUUGCCACGCUGCUCAGUACAAGAGGGAGCUUGCCGUUGACGCCCGCAUCUCGGUGGCUAGCGGCCAGUCCGCCUUCGACACGGCCGACGAACAUGGAUCUAGUGAACCAGCACCUGAGCAGAUCACAGAUUUAAUGAAUUCAAUUCAAGGACGAUCUUCGCAACAGUUAACGGGCCAUUUGCCUAUGCGGCACAAGUCCAAACUUCAAUUUCAUCCUUCCUAAAUUGAAAUUGGCAGUACAACAAAGCCAGCAUAGUUCUUCCCCCCAGGUUUCAAACUUACGUACGAUACUUAAAUAUUUGAUAAAUAACUUAAGUCAACGAAGAACCGAGUGAACUUAAACAUGGUCUGUUUCGGAAUAUACAACCAGCUGGAACAUGAAAUGUUUCCACGGACAAGUAAAACGGGAGAAGAGGGUUCCAGAUUAAGAAACACAGGCGUUUCAGCUCUUUCAACACAAACAAGCACUCCGUCAACUAAUGUAAUUGACAUCAACGCAGAGAAGUACGGGUCAUCUAGCCUCCAGAACAGGUCACAGCACUACUGGGGGGCUGCCAAUGCCUUGGGCUUCGGCUUCACCUCGACUUCAUUCACUGUCCGGAUAAAUAUAGCGUCAGGUUCAUGCCUGAAAUGCACAAAAACACUGGUGAGUCAACCCUUUUUUUCCUUAUUUAUGUAGACAGAGAUUUGCCAGGCAAAGUAGUUCAGUAUUACGUUUUUUCUCCCUCUUCAUAAGUGUAGCUGGAUGCCACAGCAAGCAGAUGCCCAUCCUUACUGAAUGAUAGAGCAGCGAUGCUUGAUGCGUACUUCGAGUACUGCAAUCAGAAGUAGGGAAAUCAUGAAUACAAGUAACGUUUCAGACAGUAGCACAUCCCAAUCAAGCAAAACUUUUCAUUUGGUUUACCUGAUAUAGUCUUUUCUUGUUAAUGCCAUCCCACACAUUCACAAAUCCAUCACACCCUCCGGUGGCAAAUGUUCCAUAUCUGCACAAGGACAAUAAAAAUCUGAACUAAUAAUCCAGUGAGAUAUCAAACUACCAAGAAAAUAGAAUAUCGUGGCUUUACAUGGGAUGGAAAGCAAUUGCAUUGACAGGAUAAACGGUGUCCCUGCCGGCCUCAGACUUCCGAUGACACUUGAAAGCAUACCUGCAUGAAAAAUUGCCCACAAUCAAUGGCACUAGGAUAAACGCCAAAUAUUCAGCUAGUUUAGUUCAUUUCCCUCUUUUAAUUAAUUAAGAACCAGGCCACUCUAGUUCAUUUUGACAAGUUUUGUGGCACGACUGUUCAGUCUAAGUUUCCAGAAAACAGGUAGUUUGUACUUGAUACAUAUCCAGUGCAAUCUGUAACCAGACCCAGACACGAUCAUAAACUCCAUUUUAGUUUAGGAAACAACAAGAAAACGCCAGGAAAAAAAUCUCAAAUUACUCCCUAAGUAAUAAUCUCUUUUGGAAAAUACGAAAAACGCAAAUUCCUAAAAAGACUCAAAACAGGAAGGAAAAAUAAAUAACAAGGUUACUGUUUGCAGGCAAUUUUGUUUUCAUACUUCUAUCAGCUUGAGUCUGGAAUGGCAGUAUAAAAUGUAUUCAUUGCACCAAUCUUUGUUUGAAUACCACAAAGAAAUUGACAUGAUUUCCAACUGAAGUGUAAGCGUGUUUAUGCUUAAGUACAAGCACAUAUAAGCUUCAAAAAUUAUAUAUGGGGAAUGUGGAUGUGUGUUUGCAAAAUAAAGUUUCACUACCAAUUGUUUGUUUUGAUGCAACAGGAACCACAUGUACAUUUAGGUCAUAAUAGUAUGAAGCAAUCAUAAGAUGUCAGACAUGCACCCAUCUUUUGGCAGUUAAGGCUAUCUCCUGCAGCUUACUCAUCCCCAUAUUCAAACUUCGCUCUACGAACAAUGCAGUCUACAGCGCAAAACAGUACAAAACAGUGUUUUGGAUAACGAACUACUGAAGACGGUGUAAAGUGCAGAAAACAUACUUUUUAGAUUGAGCAGACUCAGAUAGAUCAAAGAAUUCCAUAGAAACUCGCCCUUCAACAGAACUAAGAGCAUAUCCUGAUGCAAGACAGAAAAAACUGAGAUCAGCAUACAGCUUAUGAUUGGUGUUAUAUACACCAUACAAUAAAUUUGAAAAUGAAAUAAACAAUAUUGGACAUAACUGUACUAAAAACAGGCACCUUGAACAGCAUAAUACAAUAAUGCAUGCCUAUAAUUAUUAAGAAAAGGCCAGACCAGUCGUUCAACCAGGAAAAACUAAAACUCAAAAGGCACAUUUUGUUGCCCGCUUUCCAGCGGACCAGACUCCUGGGGUGUAGGCAAGCCACGACUGGAUGGCUGAACGAGCGCCGGAACCUGGCUGCCCAGAUGCAAGCAGCGCUGCCAAGCCUUGUUCCCAGGAAAUGAAUUUUGUUUUCGUUUUCCAGGAUCCAGGUUCCCGCAGUCGUGAACACGCGCACCCAGUGGCCUGGCUGAGAGACAGUGAGCGGUAGCCACAAGUCAGAGAACAGGCAACCAAACAGCUGAUCAAGGUCCCGACGCUAGAGGGCAAAGCAAUCAAACAUCAGUGACUUGUACGGCCAGAACCUGGCUAGCGACUGCCUGAAUGCUAGAUGUGACCCAGGCUAGCUAGAUAAAGGAACAAAACAGGCCCAAAGUUGACCACUAUGCCUGCACCAUACUUGGAGCCUUGGACAAUUACAGAGUACCUAAUAGAAAGCAAACUGUAGUUGAAUGAGCAGGUUUCCUGUAAACAAGAGUUUGGCCACCCAAUCCUCAAGAAAUAUUUGCAAAGAAUGUCAAACACAUGACUUAUAACCUGUAAUUCUGUAAAUAAGCCCUUUGUAGCGGGGUCAUCUGUAGCUUACCACACUUUCCAUAUUGAUAUAACUAAGGGGUGUGAUGCCCAUUUAAGAAAUGGAAUACAGGCACUACAUCAAACAAUCAAUAUAGGAAUUAAUUAUACACGCACUAUUUCAUGUUUUAAAUAGAAUGUAAAGCAAUUAUUGUAGACCUCCACUAAACCAAUGCAAUGGAAAAAUAUUUGGAUUUCUAAUACAAGAAUAAGCUCUUACAUAAUGUCAAGAGUGGCAUAGUUAACUGGAUUAAUACUUCCAUACUGCUACUGAUUUGGAAGAUAAAUCAUGAAAAACUAGUAUAAACAAUAACUAGAAUUGAAAAAUAAACAUAGCAGUUAAGUUGCAACUAGAUAUUUGAAAGGAAUGAACAGGGACCACCAUAAAACUGUAUUCACAAAAGUUAAAUCAACAGAUAGAAUUCAAAUACCCCAGCUUAAUAUGUGAUGAAAACCAUACAUAAAAAAUACAGAAUCAAAUGUUAAUGCUACAUAUUAAUAUGUAUGCGACAACUUAAAAGACACAAACCAUGUGCUGUUCAGAUGAUUAUUUGACUUCGUAAUUAAACAUAAUAGAUCCAUUUGGAGGAGCCUACCAAGAAUCCUCAACUCAAACUCACAAAUAAAGAUUGAAUUGUACUUAUUGAACCUGGCAUGGCCCUGUACGGACAGAAUCUUGAGGCGCCCCUAAUCUUUAUCCCAGAUAAAAGUCCCCAUCACAAAUAAAGAGAACAAAACAACUAUCAAGAGAAAUGGAGCAUUGGUAGACUACCAAAGGAGCUAAAGGAAAUCAAUGGAUGCAAAUUGAUAUAUUUACCAUUCCUCUGUUAUAUAAACAGCAUAAACAAUUUAAAACGAAUAGGUGUUGUCAACUAGCAACCUAAUCAAGAUGGAACCAAUUACCUGUUCCGUUGGGAAAACAUCGAACACAUCGUGUUUGAUAUUUCAAAGAAGAGUCUCUUUUUUGCUCAGGUUGAGACAUAUUGCGCAGAUCAUAAAUAUUUACAUGUCUUCCAGCUGUUGCAACAACCAACCUAUUUCCUACUAACGAAAGAGAAUAUACACGUUCAGGUUGAGCAUAUGUCCCAACAAGGGUGCGCUCUGGUCCACUAACUCCUCUUGGAUCCCAGCAUUUUACAGUUUUAUCCCAGCUGCCGGUGAUGACUUGACCUAAAUAGAACAAAACAAACAGUUCAGUUCAGACCCAUUAGGUAAUCACUCAUAAAGCACAACAGGUCAAGUACAAUACAUAAAAAAAACCAACUGCAUGGAAGGGUUUUUUCAUUAUUUUACUUCAACCCCAGAUAUUAAUUGAAAUUACGAUAGAGCAUUUCAUCAGCUUAGGAAAUUUCACUUAAUUUAAUAACAUAAUUCCUGAAUAGCAACGAAACAACUACUCUCACAUGACCAUAAUCAUCAUAUAGAACAACGACAUGGCACGAUUGGACAGAGAUUGUGAUUAGAUUGAGGACCAUGCAUAGUUAAGUUGCUGAGAACUGAAAUACUACAAAAUAUAUUCCAAGGACAAAAAGAAAAGGAAAAAAACUAGGUACCAAAGACACGAUUCUGGCAAGGACAUCUGUACAAUUCUCAGUUCAAAUCGAGAGACAAAGGUUUUAUUGCAUUGUGGCAUUGUAAACUGUGCAGAACCAAAUCCAUGUAGCAGAUCAAGCAAUAGGAAUCUAAUUUCUAUCUUGGCCUAGGAGUAAAUACUUUCAAAAGCAUAACCGCAUAACUAUAUAUAGUGUUUUUGGAAUUCAAGUACAAAAAUAGCUAUCAAUGUGUUCUGUUUAUAGAAAUUGUAAGGUCUAGCUGCAUCAGGCUGCACAAGUACCUUGCAGAAGAAAAAGAAACGCUAGAAAAGAAAUCCAAAAGCAAAUCCACAGAAAUAAAAAGUACCUGCAGCAUAAGAGUAUUCCACGCAACGAACCGGACCAUCAUGCCGCCCCAAAACAUCUUCCUUGGACGAGCUAAAUACCAACCUGAAAUAGAUAAUUUGGGCUAAUUACUUGUUCUUGUAAUCACAUUACAAGUGAAGGCAAACCUAAGCGUAUUUGCAUGCAAACUAAUUAUGGGACGAGUAACAUUCAAUAAUCAGAUCUUCAAAGUCCAACGCAAAUGGAUCCCAGACAAUGCAAAUGUAAGUUUAUUUACAAGCUACCAAUUAUGGAACCAGUAGCAUUCAAUGAAAACAACUAGGCAUAAUGCUUGCCAUCUUACAUGAAGAACUCAAUUCGCAUCUAACAAAAAACAUAAGAUCAAACACUUACAUUUGGUUUCCGGAACAGUUGGAAAUUUUUAGAAGGACAUGACCAGAUAUUUCCGAACUUAAGUAGUCAUGUCAGUAAUAUAAACACCAAACAAACAGCAAUUCUAGAACAGAAUCCUGUCAGCAUAAAACUGACAGGUUUCUCUUUGACUAUAAAAUGUUUGGUUAGUCAUUGCAAUAAACAAUUCUGGAUCAAAACAAUUUUCUCAUACAGUGCCACAAGUCUCCAGCUUAUUUAUGUGAACAAAAAGAUACAUAAAAAUUUACUGCACCGCAACCCACAAAAAAGAGUGGAUCUAUUUUCGAAAUCAUGUAUGCACCCGAAAAGACAUUUCGGCAACAGCAAAUAAUACUAUUAUUCUCUAACUACAUGUGACACAGCAGACCUAUAACAUCAGUACCACCAAACGGAUAACAGAAGUGUUGAUCUCAAAGCACACAGCCACAUGCAAUUUUGCAGGCGCAGUGCUUGUGCUGCACAUCACCAACCCGAUCCCAAAAUUCGACGCUGCGCACUGUGUGGGAUAAGGCAGGAAUGGAAGAGACAAAGAUACCAACACUUUUAAAAACCCGCUCACCUCCGCACGGUGUGGUCGGCACCGGCGCUAAAGCCCGAGGAGUCGUCGUGGAAGCAGCAGUCGAGGACGGCCCCGGGGUGCAUGAACUCCCCCUUGAGCACGUUGGCGUCGGCGUCGUAGAGCCGCACCGUCUGCAAAGCCCAAACCAAACCAAACCAAGUCAGAUCAGUGGGGUCAGACAGCUAGGGUUUAACGAGCGGGAGAAUGGGGGGAGCGGGGGAGGAGGCGGCUGACCACCACUGACCUUGUCCCAUGAGGAGACGAGGAGGUUGUUGCUGUGGUUGGAGAAGCGGAGGUUGGUGAUUCCGUCGGCGGGCGGGUUGGCAAGCUCCUUGCCGCUGCCGACGGCAGCUGGCGCGGCGGCGGAGCUCAUGGUGGGCGGUGGCGCAGGUGGAGGAGGAGGGGUCGGGCUAGGGUUUGGGGCGUCGAAGGCGGAGGUGGUUCGAAAUUUGAACGCGCAACGAGCGAGGCUAGCACGAGGGAGGACGAUGACGGUUUAAAGAAACGGAAAAUGCUUGGGGAAGUCUUUCUGGAUUCGAAUUUUGAACCACGGCCACGGGAAGCAGCAGAGUUGGGGGAGUGACUAUGAGAGAACUGGAGAACAGAGGAGACGAGGCGAGGCGAGAAGAUUCCGCGGCGUGGGACGUGCCUCUCUUCCCGUUAGAUCGGCGCCAUUGCUGAGUUAACUACUGAGAGCCUGUGGAAAUAAAAUAUUUUUGUAGUACCAAGACUUUUAGUAAUAUCAUCAUAAAUGUUAUAAAGUGUUUGAUUGUAUUUUUAAAAAAGUAUGUUUUCAAAACUAUGGUAUUAUAUAUACAAUGGUAUUUUGAGUUUUGAAAACUUUACUCCGACCCAAAAUUUUAAUGACAUGGCUAGUUUUCGACGUUGUAUCCUCCUGUAUCUAGGCCUUCUGAAUCUAAGUUUUUCGUUUCAGAUUAAAGACAGCUGUUCGAAAUGCUACAGUUGUAAUUGAUAGGGACAAUAUUAUAAAAACAGUUUUGAAUUAAAGACAAGCGCACAUAAUCCUAGGUACUACUGUCCAACCCCCUUUUGUCCAUUGCGAAGAUACAAGAACAUGACAAGAUCACAAUAGAUGGACCUGCAGCAGAAACAAAUAACAAGUAGAUUUGCAAUAAAAAAACUAAAAAAUUAAUAUCUUAAUAAGUAUCUGCUUUUAUAUCUAAUUCUUAGGGCUAGUUUAGAAACCUCAUUCUUCCGAGGAUUUUCAAUUUCCAAGAAAAAUUAGUUUAUUUUCACUUGGAAAAUGGAAAUCCAUUAAAAAAAUGGAGUUUCACACUAGCCCUUAGAACUAAAGGUCUAGCAUGUGUUGUAUGUGCCUUGAUUUGAUGUCUGCCAUUGUCCGAUGUGGCGCGCCGCUCACGUUUCUCACCGCGCAUCAGUACGGCUGCUCAUCAAUUAACUGUUUGCUUGAUGCCGGAGUCUCUUUCCUAUGCCCACCCCAGAGUCUCCACUCUCCAUCCUGUGCCCACCCCAGAGACGCAAUGAUUUGGCCGCUGUAGGGAUUGCUGAAAGAGAGAGAAAACUUGGAUCCAUGUUCACAUAAAUGUCUGUAUUGUUCACAAAACAGCUCUUCUGGAGAGUUGAUCGACCUCUAUGUUAUUCACAAACAACAUAUUCCACAAAAGCAACUCUUCUGGAGCAUCCAUGAACCGAAUAGAAUUGUAGAACUGUGGUUGAGUAAACAAAAGAGCCUCCUUUGCGCAUGUGUAACUAGCAUUUGCUGGGUCAACCAAAAUGCAAAGGGUGCUCUUACAGCUUACCUGGGCUAGACCGUGUUCAUUAUUCAACUUCAGAGCCCUUCCUUUCUCUUCUUUAGAGCUAAAGAUUUUCUGAAUGCAAAAUAAUAAUAAUAAUUCUUUUAGAGUUCUGGCCAUGUCUAGAUGGCUAUCUAAACAAAAUACUGAGUACUGGUGAUUAAUUUUCAAUCAACUUAUAGGAAUAGUACAAUAUAAAUAAAAUGUCCAAAGCUGGUGUUUGGUUUUUCAUGGCAGCACAACUUAUUAAAAAAUAACGAAAAGAAUAUCAAAUCCAACACUGCUCGGUCCUGAUAAUACUUCAAUAAAUAUGCUUCAACAGUAAUUCUCAACUAUGCUACUUUACAGCUAGGGUGCAGAGCUAGAGCCACCCAGAUCACUGAAUAGAAAACUGAAAAUCACUCAAUAUCAUAAGUAAUCAGUAUUGAUGAUCAUUGCUGAAGAUGAUUACUGAAGCGACAGUAUUCCUGAUCUUCUGGUUCCAUAAUCUUCAAGGCGUGGGAUAAUGCAACCAUACCAAACUAACCUCUAGAUAACAAUUGAAAAUUAUAUGCAGAAAGCAAGGUUGUGCACACAGUGAAAAGUUUACCUUUUUGGUGGUUGACACAUUUUCAUUAUGGUCAAUUUUGAUGUCGAAGAUAUCAUGGACUGAAUCAUUAGCCUGCAGAGAAAAAGAGGAGCUUUAACACUAUUAUAACACUAAAAUAUUCAUAGAUAUAGAGAUGUGCACAAUUCUGCUUACAUUAACCUGUGCAUGCUUCAGGAAUCCACAUCCAAGAAAUCACCUCAUAUGGUUCAACUAAGCAAAUGAUCAAAAGCACAUAUUUUAGCAGGAUCGUUGUUUGUUACCACUUCCUAACUAGCGGAAGAACACAUCGAAGAAACCAAAGCCAAUAGGGAAGGCCCAAGAGAAAAUGGACCGAGACGCCUGUGGGAGGUGACACUGGUCAUUUCCUCUAUGCCCUGUCAACCCAACUGCGCCCAGCAUUCUUUGAGAUUCUUCUGUCAUGCAUCAUACUCCUAAUCUCAGCUGAUUUGUCCCAAUCCCCAUGAGCUGCGAGUGUGCUUGACAGCUGCACAUACAAACUUGAAUGUGUUGACAAUCCUGUUUCCAUCAAUUUGUUUGCAACCUUGUCCAACAGAACCUCAUUGCCCUGGGCUUUGCAUCCUCCAAUAAUAGAAGUCCAACUAAUUGCAUCAGCUUUGAAAGGCAUGUUCUCUAUGAACUCAACUGCUUCAUCCAGUCGACCUGCUCGGACCAACAGGUCAGUCACACAUGCAUAAUGCUCAGCUGAUGGACUCACGCCAAAAUCUUCCUUCAUCCGGUAAAACCAUCUCAAUCCCUCUUCCACAAGCCCAGAAUGACAGCAUGCAGAAAGGACACCAACAAAUGUCCGUUCGCUUGGCUUCAGACCCCUACUUUGCAUUAAAUCUAGAAGUUUCAGUGCCUCGAGUCCAUACCCGUUAGAAGCAUAACCUAUAAGCAUUGAGUUCCACAGGACUUCGUCUGGAUUAGCAAUACCACUGAAGAUCCUGCGUCCAUUGGCCAAGUUACCACAUUUGCAGUAUAGGUCAAUGAGCGAGGAGGCUACAAUAUGGUCAGACUGCAGACCAAGCGCAAUAGCAAGACCAAAAAUCUGCUCCCCGGAACUUACAGAGCAGAUGCUGCCUGAUGCACUAAGGACACUGGAUAUAGCUACAUUGUCAAGCUGCAAACCAAGCCGGUGCAUCUCACAGAACAGCUCCAAUGCAUCAAGAGCAUGCCCGUUUUGACUGAACCCAACAAUCAUAGAAUUCCAUGAGAUGACACUCUUGCUAGGGAUCAAACGAAAAACUCUUCUAGCCUCAUCUAUUUGGCCACAGUUUGAGUAUACAGUGAUCAUUGAGUUGAGCACAAUGGUGUCAUGAUGCCUAAGCUCACUGAAAGCUUGGCAGGCAUCUGCCCAGAGGCCGCAUUUCGAGUAGAAGUCAAUGAGAGCACUUGCUGCUAUCAAGUCAUUGACAGCCCCACUCUUUAAAGCACAAGCUUGCGUCUGCUGACCAGGCUUCAGCAUGCCUAAAAAGCCACACAUGUUCAGAACAAUGGCAUAAAUAGUAGAAUUAGGCAACAUUUCUGACCGCAACAUCCUUACAAAAAGAACAAAAGCACCAUCUCCAUGAUAGGCAGGGUUACAACCACUGAUAAGAGACGUCCAUAGAGCAAUGCUGGGGCUCUCCAUCUUGUCGAAAAGACAUAACGCCUUGUGCAACUGUCCGCAAGAUGCGUAGCCAUAGACCAAUGCGGACAGCGAAAUCUCAUCGACAUGUUCUAACCUGUCAAGAACUUGGUGAGCGGAGUCCAAAUCCCCACACUUGCAAUACAUGUCAAUCAACGCGCAGCCCAAUAUCGAAUCAAUCCCGGUGUUGGCAACCACCAACCGGGUGUGAGCUUGCCUCCCAAUCUCAUACUGCGUCCGAUCAGCACAGGCGCCAACCACUGUGGUAAGCACGAAGGGGUCAUUCCAUGGUAAGAUCCCAUCCGAAUCGCACUGCGAACCAAUUCUCUUGAGCAGAGCAAAGGCCUCAUCCACUCGGCCACAGCGUACGUACCUAUGCAACACAGCGUUGCAAGCCACGGCGUCCUUCACGGGCAUCUCAUCUAGCAACUCACUCGCGGUGUCGAGAUCCCCAGCACCAGUGAGGCCAGUUAUCACCGCGUUGUAGGAGAAGGUGUUCCUGUCAGGCAUGGAGCGAAACACGCGGAGAGCCGCACGGUGGUCUCCGGACUUGAAGAGGGCGGUGAUGAUGGAGUUAUAGGAGAAGCAGUUCUUCGUGGGCAUUUCGUCGAACAGGCGGCGGGCGUCGCGGGAGUGGAGCGGAGAGCCGCGCGCGUACAUGAGGAGGACGGAGUUAGUGGGCGGGAGCGAGGAGGGGACGUGGCCGGAUUUGAGGAGGAGCUGGUGGAGCUGCCGGCCGGCGACCGCGCUGCAGGAGCGGAGGAGCUGGAUGCAGGAGGGGACGUCGACGGCGACGGCGACGGCCAUGGCAGCGGACUCUGACUUGGGGAGAGGACGGGCAUUAUUAACUGCCUCGCGCACAGCCCCAAAUCCCCCCAAUGGACAAGACAGCGCAGUCUCG
rnacentral:lncRNA from 1 species